UGCCUUAGUAACUGCGAGUGAAGCGGCAAAAGCUCAAAUUUGAAAUCUGGCGUCUUCGACGUCCGAGUUGUAAUUUGGAGGGGCAUCUUCGGAAUUGGCGCCGUCCUAAGUUCCUUGGAACAGGACGUCAUAGAGGGUGAGAAUCCCGUGCCUGGAUGGCUGUCCAAUUCCAUGUGAAGUGUCUCCGACGAGUCGAGUUGUUUGGGAAUGCAGCUCAAAAUGGGUGGUAAAUUUCAUCUAAAGCUAAAUAUUGGCGAGAGACCGAUAGCGCACAAGUAGAGUGAUCGAAAGAUGAAAAGCACUUUGAAAAGAGAGUUAAAAAGUACGUGAAAUUGUUGAAAGGGAAGCGCUUGAGACCAGACUCAAUCUUAGGUGAUCAGCUGUGCUUCUGUACGGUGCACUUGCCUUUGAUUGGGCCAGCAUCAGUUCUGACGGUGGGAUAAAAUGCAUAGGAAUGUGGCUCUCUUCGGGGAGUGUUAUAGCCUUUGUAACAAUGCCACCAGUUGGGACUGAGGACCGCGCUUCGGCUAGGAUGCUGGCGUAAUGGUCUUAAGCGACCCGUCUUGAAACACGGACCAAGGAGUCUAACAUCUAUGCGAGUGUUCGGGUGGAAAACCCUUGCGCGUAAUGAAAGUGAACGGAGGUGUGAACCCCUCGGGGUGCAACAUCGACCGAUCCUGAUGUUUUCGGAAGGAUUUGAGUAAGAGCAUAGCUGUUGGGACCCGAAAGAUGGUGAACUAUGCCUGAAUAGGGUGAAGCCAGAGGAAACUCUGGUGGAGGCUCGCAGCGGUUCUGACGUGCAAAUCGAUCGUCAAAUUUGGGUAUAGGGGCGAAAGACUAAUCGAACCAUCUAGUA
rnacentral:rRNA from 1 species